AAUAACCAAAUAUAAUACUUGGACUAAGGAUGAAAUUCCUAAUUUUCUUACAUCUCCCCCUAUAGCCCAUGUAUCAUAUAUACCCCUAAAAUAAAGAGCCUUGAAUACUAGAAGAAAAGCGCAUAUACCUAACAAGAUUAAGUGAAUACCCAAAAUUGUAGUCAUUUUAUUUAUAUCUUUCCA
rfam:Lupinus angustifolius cultivar Tanjil chromosome LG03, whole genome shotgun sequence.